rnacentral:rRNA from 1 species
AGUGAACGCUGGCGGUAGGCCUAACACAUGCAAGUCGAACGGCAGCACAGUAAGAGCUUGCUCUUACGGGUGGCGAGUGGCGGACGGGUGAGGAAUACAUCGGAAUCUACUUUUUCGUGGGGGAUAACGUAGGGAAACUUACGCUAAUACCGCAUACGACCUACGGGUGAAAGCAGGGGAUCUUCGGACCUUGCGCGAUUGAAUGAGCCGAUGUCGGAUUAGCUAGUUGGCGGGGUAAAGGCCCACCAAGUCGACGAUCCGUAGCUGGUCUGAGCGGAUGAUCGGCCACCCUAGAACUUGGACACGGUCCAGACUCCUACGGGAGGCAGCAGUGGGGAAUAUUGGACAAUGGGCGCAAGCCUGAUCCAGCCAUACCGCGUGGGUGAAGAAGGCCUUCGGGUUGUAAAGCCCUUCUGUUGGGAAAGAAAAGCAGCAGGUUAAUACCCCGCUGUUCUGACGGUACCCAAAGAAUAAGCACCGGCUAACUUCGUG